CAGUAGCCGCGGUAAUACGUAGGGUGCAAGCGUUAAUCGGAAUUACUGGGCGUAAAGCGUGCGCAGGCGGUUAUAUAAGACAGAUGUGAAAUCCCCGGGCUCAACCUGGGAACUGCAUUUGUGACUGUAUAGCUAGAGUACGGCAGAGGGGGAUGGAAUUCCGCGUGUAGCAGUGAAAUGCGUAGAUAUGCGGAGGAACACCGAUGGCGAAGGCAAUCCCCUGGGCCUGUACUGACGCUCAUGCACGAAAGCGUGGGGAGCAAACAGGAUUAGAUACCCGUAGUCCCUGUCUCUUAUACAC
rnacentral:rRNA from 1 species